rnacentral:rRNA from 1 species
UCGAGAAUUUUUCACAAUGGGCGCAAGCCUGAUGGAGCGACGCCGCGUGGGGGAUGAAGGGCUUCGGCUCGUAAACCCCUGUCAUUUGCGAACAAGGGCGCCAACCUAACAUGUUGUCGCUUGAUAGUAGCAGAAGAGGAAGGGACGGCUAACUCUGUGCCAGCAGCCGCGGUAAUACAGAGGUCCCAAGCGUUGUUCGGAUUCACUGGGCGUAAAGGGUGCGUAGGUGGCGAUUUAAGUCGGGUGUGAAAUCUCCGGGCUCAACCCGGAGGGUGCGCCCGAAACUGAGUUGCUAGAGGAUGGGAGGGGAGACUGGAAUUCUCGGUGUAGCAGUGAAAUGCGUAGAUAUCGAGAGGAACACCGGUGGCGAAGGCGAGUCUCUGGACCAUUCCUGACACUGAGGCACGAAAGCCGGGGGAGCAAACA